AUUGAACGCUGGCGGCAUGCCUUACACAUGCAAGUCGAACGGCAGCACGGGUGCUUGCACCUGGUGGCGAGUGGCGAACGGGUGAGUAAUACAUCGGAACAUGUCCUGUAGUGGGGGAUAGCCCGGCGAAAGCCGGAUUAAUACCGCAUACGAACUACGGAUGAAAGCGGGGGACCUUCGGGCCUCGCGCUAUUGGGUUGGCAGAUGGCUGAUUAGCUAGAUGGUGGGGUAAAGGCCUACCAAGGCGACGAUCAGUAGCUGGUCUGAGAGGACGACCAGCCACACUGGGACUGAGACACGGCCCAGACUCCUACGGGAGGCAGCAGUGGGGAAUUUUGGACAAUGGGCGAAAGCCUGGUCCAGCGAUGCCGCGUGUGUGAAGAAGGCCUUCGGGUUGUAAAGCACUUUUGUCCGGAAAGAAAUCCUUGGCCCUAAUACGGUCGGGGGAUGACGGUACCGGAAGAAUAAGCACCGGCUAACUACGUG
rnacentral:rRNA from 1 species